UAGGGAAUCUUCGGCAAUGGACGCAAGUCUGACCGAGCAACGCCGCGUGAGUGAAGAAGGUUUUCGGAUCGUAAAACUCUGUUGUUAGAGAAGAACAAGGAUGAGAGUAGAAUGUUCAUCCCUUGACGGUAUCUAACCAGAAAGCCACGGCUAACUACGUGCCAGCAGCCGCGGUAAUACGUAGGUGGCAAGCGUUGUCCGGAUUUAUUGGGCGUAAAGCGAGCGCAGGCGGUUUCUUAAGUCUGAUGUGAAAGCCCCCGGCUCAACCGGGGAGGGUCAUUGGAAACUGGGAAACUUGAGUUCAGAAGAGGAGAGUGGAAUUCCAUGUGUAGCGGUGAAAUGCGUAGAUAUAUGGAGGAACACCAGUGGCGAAGGCGGCUCUCUGGUCUGUAACUGACGCUGAGGCUCGAAAGCGUGGGGAGCAAACA
rnacentral:rRNA from 1 species